GUAGGUGGCAAGCGUUGUCCGGAAUUAUUGGGCGUAAAGCGCGCGCAGGUGGUUCUUUAAGUCUGAUGUGAAAGCCCCCGGGCUCAACCGGGGAGGGUCAUUGGAAACUGGGGAACUUGAGUGCAGGAGAGGAAAGUGGAAUUCCACGUGUAGCGGUGAAGUGCGUAGAUAUGUGGAGGAACACCAGUGGCGAAGGCGACUUUCUGGCCUGUAACUGACACUGAGGCGCGAAAGCGUGGGGAGCAAACAGGAUUAGAUACCCUGGUAGUCCACGCCGUAAACGAUGAGUGCUAAGUGUUGGGGGGUUUCCGCCCCUCAGUGCUGCAGCUAACGCAUUAAGCACUCCGCCUGGGGAGUACGGUCGCAAAGACUG
rnacentral:rRNA from 1 species